CUAACAAGGAUUCCCCUAGUAACUGCGAGUGAAGCGGGAAAAGCUCAAAUUUAAAAUCUGGUGGUCUCUGGCCAUCCGAGUUGUAAUCUAGAGAAGUGUUACCCGCGUCGGACCGUGUAUAAGUCUCCUGGAAUGGAGCGUCAUAGAGGGUGAGAAUCCCGUCUUUGACACGGACUACCGAGGCUUUGUGGUAUGCUCUCAAAGAGUCGAGUUGUUUGGGAAUGCAGCUCAAAAUGGGUGGUAAAUUCCAUCUAAAGCUAAAUAUUGGCGAGAGACCGAUAGCGAACAAGUACCGUGAGGGAAAGAUGAAAAGAACUUUGGAAAGAGAGUUAAACAGUACGUGAAAUUGCUGAAAGGGAAACGCUUGAAGUCAGUCGCGUUGGCCGGGAAUCAGCCUUGCUUUUUGCUUGGUGUACUUUCUGGUUGACGGGCCAGCAUCAGUUUUGACCGGUGGAAAAAGUUCAGGGGAAUGUGGCAUCUUCGGAUGUGUUAUAGCCCUUGUUCGUAUACAUCGGUUGGGACUGAGGAACUCAGCACGCCGCAAGGCCGGGUCUUUGACCACGUUCGUGCUUAGGAUGCUGGCAUAAUGGCUUUAAUCGACCCGUCUUGAAACACGGACCAAGGAGUCUAACAUGCCUGCGAGUGUUUGGGUGGAAAACCCGAGCGCGUAAUGAAAGUGAAAGUUGAGAUCCCUGUCAUGGGGAGCAUCGACGCCCGGACCUGACGUUUUCUGACGGCCCUGCGGUAGAGCAUGUAUGUUGGGACCCGAAAGAUGGUGAACUAUGCCUGAAUAGGGUGAAGCCAGAGGAAACUCUGGUGGAGGCUCGUAGCGAUUCUGACGUGCAAAUCGAUCGUCAAAUUUGGGUAUAGGGGCGAAAGACUAAUCGAACCAU
rnacentral:rRNA from 1 species